rnacentral:rRNA from 1 species
AUUGAACGCUGGCGGCAGGCCUAACACAUGCAAGUCGAGCGGAUGAAGGGAGCUUGCUCCUGGAUUCAGCGGCGGACGGGUGAGUAAUGCCUAGGAAUCUGCCUGGUAGUGGGGGAUAACGUCCGGAAACGGGCGCUAAUACCGCAUACGUCCUGAGGGAGAAAGUGGGGGAUCUUCGGACCUCACGCUAUCAGAUGAGCCUAGGUCGGAUUAGCUAGUUGGUGGGGUAAAGGGCUACCAAGGCGACGAUCCGUAACUGGUCUGAGAGGAUGAUCAGUCACACUGGAACUGAGACACGGUCCAUACGCCUACGGGAGGCAGCAGUGGGGAAUAUUGGGCAAUGGGCGAAAGCCUGAUCCAGCCAGGCCGCGUGUGUGAAGAAGGUCUUCGGAUUGUAAAGCACUUUAAGUUGGGAGGAAGGGCAGUAAGUUAAUACCUUGCUGUUUUGACGUUACCAACAGAAUAAGCACCGGCUAACUUCGUG